GGUGUGUGUACCAUGGCUGUUCAACAGGAUUGAUUACAUUAAACCGUUCUCACAGAAAAAUGGAACUCUCAUGGAAGAUUUGAUACAGACUUUGAUGAUCCAC
rnacentral:lncRNA from 1 species